rnacentral:lncRNA from 12 species
GCAACUACUAUUUAAAUGGUUUUCAUCUCAGGGACACACUGACAAGGUUUCAAAGACCCCCAAAGAUUCACAGAUCGCUCUCUUUUGUUUUUUCCCCUACAUCUAACCUUCCAACUGCUCUAACAGUAGUUCUCAUUUCUGGCUGCACAAGAGGAUCCUGUGAAACUUGAAAAAUAUGCAACUCAUGAUUAUGCACAGAAGGACUCAUGUGUUCUGCCACCUGGUUUCAAGUCCAGCUCCUCCUUGUCCAUUUUAAGUAAUGGCAUUAUAUGCAGCAGAGUCUUGAGGGUUCAAAACAUCUUCUGUUGCAAUCACUUGGCACACUGUUCAUGACCUGAGGCGCUC